CAGUCGAACGAGAGAAGAGAAGCUUGCUUUUCUGAUCUAGUGGCGGACGGCUGUGUAACACGUGAGCAAUCUGCCUUUCAGAGGGGGAUACCGAUUGGAAACGAUCGUUAAUACCGCAUAACAUAAUUGAACCGCAUGAUUUGAUUAUCAAAGAUUUAUCGCUGAAAGAUGAGCUCGCGUCUGAUUAGCUAGUUGGUAAGGUAACGGCUUACCAAGGCGACGAUCAGUAGCCGGACUGAGAGGUUGAUCGGCCACAUUGGGACUGAGACACGGCCCAGACUCCUACGGGAGGCAGCAGUGGGGAAUAUUGCACAAUGGAGGAAACUCUGAUGCAGCGAUGCCGCGUGAGGGAAGAAGGUUUUAGGAUUGUAAACCUCUGUCUUCAGGGACGAAAAAAGACGGUACCUGAGGAGGAAGCUCCGGCUAACUACGUGCCAGCAGCCGCGGUAAUACGUAGGGAGCGAGCGUUGUCCGGAAUUACUGGGUGUAAAGGGAGCGUAGGCGGGAUCGCAAGUCAGAUGUGAAAACUAUGGGCUUAACCCAUAAACUGCAUUUGAAACUGUGGUUCUUGAGUGAAGUAGAGGUAAGCGGAAUUCCUAGUGUAGCGGUGAAAUGCGUGGAUAUUAGGAGGAACAUCAGUGGCGAAGGCGGCUUACUGGGCUUUAACUGACGCUGAGGCUCGAAAGCGUGGGGAGCAAACAGGAUUAGAUACCCUGGUAGUCCACGCCGUAAACGAUGAUUACUA
rnacentral:rRNA from 1 species